AUANAAAAAUUAUAAUAAUAAUAUAUAUAGUAUAUUAAUUAUUAUAUAUUUAAUAUAUAGCCGAAUUUUUUAUCCCGAAUUUUUAAUUGGUGAACGUAUAAUACCCGUAUAAAUCACGUAUCCGAAUAAUUAUCGAAUCCGUUUUUUAACCGUAUUUUUUAACGAAUUUAAAAAUUAAAAGACGAAUUUUAUUCGAAUUAUACCCGUAUCGAAUUUUUGCCGAAUCCGAAUUAACUAACUAUGCUCCAAAUUCUAACUCGACGUUGUCAAGUACGCAGAUGUGGAUAGCGCUCAAUUUUAGGAAUGUAAAGGGAGCGAAUCUGGGAGCAGAAGAGGUCCCCUAUCUCCUGCUCUAGUUCUUAUCAAGUUGGAGUGCAUUCAGAGCUGGUUAAUUUUAAUUCUACUUUUGACCCCCACUUACUGCUUUAUUCGGUGUGGAUUGGUCUGGGCGGGAGUAGAUUUUUGGUGAAUAGGAACGGAUUAAAGGAAAGAAAGGGUCUCAUACCUCCAGCUUCAUUUACUUGGUAAAUCAGGACAAAUUUGGAGUGGCCGAAUGGGUUAUAUUUCUUUUAUAUUUUCUAGUUCCCACUUACCGCCCUAUUCGGAGCGGAUUGAGUUAGAUCGAA
rnacentral:lncRNA from 1 species